UUAAAAAUGGUAAUUUACGAUAAUCAGGACGAACUGUUGCCUGAAAAAUGGGAA
rfam:Leptotrichia buccalis DSM 1135, complete genome.